ACGGGUGAGUAAUACAUCGGAACGUGCCCGAUCGUGGGGGAUAACGGAGCGAAAGCUUUGCUAAUACCGCAUACGAUCUACGGAUGAAAGCAGGGGACCCUCGGGCCUUGCGCGAACGGAGCGGCCGAUGGCAGAUUAGGUAGUUGGUGGGAUAAAAGCUUACCAAGCCGACGAUCUGUAGCUGGUCUGAGAGGACGACCAGCCACACUGGGACUGAGACACGGCCCAGACUCCUACGGGAGGCAGCAGUGGGGAAUUUUGGACAAUGGGCGAAAGCCUGAUCCAGCAAUGCCGCGUGCAGGAUGAAGGCCUUCGGGUUGUAAACUGCUUUUGUACGGAACGAAAAGCCUCGGGAUAAUACCCCGGGGCCAUGACGGUACCGUAAGAAUAAGCACCGGCUAACUACGUGCCAGCAGCCGCGGUAAUACGUAGGGUGCAAGCGUUAAUCGGAAUUACUGGGCGUAAAGCGUGCGCAGGCGGUUAUGUAAGACAGAUGUGAAAUCCCCGGGCUCAACCUGGGAACUGCAUUUGUGACUGCAUAGCUAGAGUACGGUAGAGGGGGAUGGAAUUCCGCGU
rnacentral:rRNA from 1 species